rnacentral:lncRNA from 1 species
UUUCACUUCAGGUUUUGUCUCCUUGGUCUCUUCUGUUUUUGUCGUCGUGGUCUCUUCUGGUUUUGUCUCCUUUACCUCUUCGGCUUUCUUCUCCUCAAUAUCAGAUUUCUUGUCUUCUUGGGUAACUGCAGCUGGUGCUGCUACUUCAGGUGAUUUCUCGAGCUCAACCGCUAUCUCCUCUCUCUUCUCCUCAAUAUCACAUUUCUUGUCUUCUUGGGUAACUGCAGCUGGUGCUGCUGCUUCAGGUGAUUUCUCGAGCUCAACCGCUGUCUCCUCAUUCUUCUCAGUGGUCUUUGGCUUUUCUUCUGCUUCUUCUAUCUUUGCCGCAACUUCAGCUAUCUUCUCUUCUUCUGGCCUUUCCGCAACUUCAGCUAUCUUCUCUUCUUCUAGCUUUGCCGCAACUUCGGCUCUCUUCUCUUCUUCCUGAGUUCAUAGAUUAAGGGAUGUAUCAAUAUUAAGUACAUUCAUAAAAUUACCAAAAGAUAUGCGCGAGUACGAAAUUUUGAAUGAUUGAAAUACCUGCGUGGGAAACUUAACUUAGGUUGUAAUUGUAAGCAUACAAAUCUUAUAACCCAACGUAGGCAAUUAUGUAAUAAUGUCUCUAAUAUGUCCAAAACAUAAGCAAGUUUUGUUAUGUUUGAUUCAAUGUCCUACGCAAGCCGCUAAAAUCAGAUGGUGAUACGUCGAAUACACGCAUGCAUGUAUUUGAAGAAAGUUAAGGUUCACUACAAAGCCAAUUGGAAUACGAGGAGUAGUCCAACCUUUUAUAAGUCCAUACAAGAUUCUUCCUUCUAUCAAUGUGUGACUCAUUCUCAACACGCCCCCUCACGUGUGGCGAAUUUUCAAGCCUAACACGUGAAUAGCACAACGGGGUGACGUGGAGCACAUGUGGCCGUUUGGCUUCACACAUGAGACAACUUGCUCUAAUACCAUGAAAAAAGUUGAGAUUCCACCAUAAAACCAAAUGGCUAUACGAGGUGUAGCCCAACCUCUUAUAAGUUCAUGCAAUAUCAUUUCUCCCAUCAAUGUGAUACUCAUUGUCAACAGUAUUUAUGCGUCUAUAUUCCAUAUCACUGUAUAGGAAACUGAACUUAAUUGGUCUACAAUCAUAGUAAAUAAUUAAAAGAAUUAUUAUUGUAUACCUCCUUGAGCAAGGCCCCGAGAGAGGGUUGUUUGUUAUGACCAUCAUCGGUAUUUUGUUCAGCCUUGUUUUCUUCCUGCAGCUGCUCAGCGUUCACCUCCUCGGCCUGAACCGACCCCUUCCUGGGCUCCGGUGCUGGGACUGCGGCAGCAUCAUCACCCUUGGUCUUUGGUUCACUAGCACAAUUACCCAUGUUAAUUUCUUUGGUCUCGAUCGAAAAAUGUCUUCUUUCCCUCUCUACGGUUUAGUGAGAGAAAGGUUGAAGACCGAGAAUAUAUUAGAGUAGUUGCGAGAG